GGGCAAAGUUUGCCUUUAAGAGGCCGUUAUCGAUUUUAGAGCAGAAAUGUGAAAUUGAUGUAUUUGGUCGUUGAAAAUGUACGCCUUUUGUUACGUAAUAUCUAAAUAGCAAGUAUUGGUUUCUAUUAGCACGUCUUCUCAUCUUGGCUUUUAAUAAUGAGGUCGCGAGCAAGGGGCAGUUUUUAAAAAUUCAUCAAAAAGUUAUGGUAGUAAAUUAUAAAUGAUGUAUAGUUUCAGGAAAUGUUGUAGAUUGGUUAAGUAUCAAAAUUACGUUGAAAUUAAGUCGAUUUUCAAAGAAAUUGUCACUUGUUUUGAAGUAAUUUCUGGAGAAAAUUGAUUUCGUCUAACUUUCAUUUACACUACUUCAAAGUCAUAAUAACAAAAAUGUAGUCUACAAAAGUUCGAGUACAGGAUAUGUGUAAUACAAAUUUACCAUUUUUAGCAGUCCAAACUUUACGAAAUUUACAAAUAAGAUCGACAAAAUCAGUGCUUUACGCGCGUUUACCUAAACGUCCUUCAGAAAAAAAUUCAUUACUAAUUUA